GUGUUUGCUUUGGCAUCACACAUACUAAAAUUGGAAGGAUACAGAGAUUAGCAUGACCCCUGCUCAAGGAUUACACAAAUUUGUGAAGUGUUCCAUAUUAAA